GGUCCUAUAACUCAGUUGGUUAGAGUGUCGUACUAAUAUUAUGAAGUCUUUCUGUAACAUUAGUAAAUGCGAAAGUCGUGAGUUCAACCCUCACUGGGACCA
rnacentral:tRNA from 1 species